rnacentral:rRNA from 1 species
AGAGUUUGAUCAUGGCUCAGGAUGAACGCUAGCUACAGGCUUAACACAUGCAAGUCGAGGGGCAUCGAGAGGAAAGCUUGCUUUCCUUGUCGGCGACCGGCGCACGGGUGAGUAACGCGUAUCCAACCUUCCCCUUAGUAGGGCAUAGCCCGGCGAAAGUCGGAUUAAUACCCUAUGUUUUCCGAUGAGGACAUCUGAGCUGGAAUAAAGAUUUAUCGCUAAGGGAUGGGGAUGCGUCUGAUUAGGUAGUCGGCGGGGUAACGGCCCACCGAGCCUACGAUCAGUAGGGGUUCUGAGAGGAAGGUCCCCCACAUUGGUACUGAGCCAUGAUCAAACUC